GAUGAACGCUGGCGGCGUGCCUAAUACAUGCAAGUCGAACGCAUUGAGAGAAGUGCUUGCACUUUUCAAUUUGAGUGGCGAACGGGUGAGUAACACGUGGGCAACCUACCUGAUAGCGGGGGAUAACGAGUGGAAACAUUCGCUAAUACCGCAUAACAAUAGAGAAGGCAUCUUCUUUAUUUAAAAGGCGCUUUCAAGCGUCACUAUCAGAUGGGCCCGCGGUGCAUUAGUUAGUUGGUGGGGUGAAGGCCUACCAAGACGAUGAUGCAUAGCCGAGUUGGGAGACGGAUCGGCCACAUUGGGACUGAGACACGGCCCAAACUCCUACGGGAGGCUGCAGUAGGGAAUCUUCCACAAUGGACGAAAGUCUGAUGGAGCAACGCCGCGUGUGUGAUGAAGGCUUUCGGGUCGUAAAGCACUGUUGUAUGGGAAGAAAUGCUAGGCUAGGAAAUGAGCUUAGUUUGACGGUACCAUACCAGAAAGGGACGGCUAAAUACGUGCCAGCCGCCGCAGUAA
rnacentral:rRNA from 1 species